rnacentral:rRNA from 1 species
AACACACGCUGGUGGCAGGCUUAGCACAUGCGAGUUGCACGAUCCGAGCAAUGUGAGAGUGGCAGACGGGAUAGUAACGCGUGGGAAUGACAUAGUGGUGCGGGACAUCUGAUGCAAACGUCAGCUAAUUUAGCAUGAUCCCUUGGGGGGAAAGAUUUAUGGUCAUUAGAUGAGCCGCGCGUCUAUAUUAGCUAGUUGGUGAGGUAAAAGCUCACACAAGGCGACGAUCUGUAGGUCGUGUGAGAGGACGAUCAGCACACACUGGGAGUGAGACACGCCCACAGUCUCCUACGGGAGGCAGCAGUGGGGCAUAUUGGACAAUGGGCGCAAGCCUGAUCCAGCCAUGCCGCGUGAGAGAUAAGCCCUUAGGGUGGUAAAUCUCUUUCGGAGGGGAAGAUAAUGACGGUACCCGCAGAAGAAGCCCCGGCUAACUUCGUGCCAGCAGCCGCGGUAAUACGAAGGGGGCGAGCGUUGUUCGGAAUUACUGGGCGUAAAGAGCACGUAGGCGGAUUGUUAAGUCGGGGGUGAAAUCCCAGGGCUCAACCCUGGAACUGCCCUCGAUACGGGCAAUCUUGAGUCCGAGAGGGGUUGGUGGAACUCCGAGUGUAGAGGUGAAAUUCGUAGAUAUUCGGAAGAACACCAGUGGCGAAGGCGGGUCUCUGGGCAGAUACUGACGCUGAGGAGCGAAAGCGUGGGGAGCGAACAGGAUUAGAUACCCUGGUAGUCCACGCUGUAAACGUUGGGUGCUAGGUGCGGGGGGCCUUUCCGGGGACCUGCGCCGUAGCUAACGCAUUAAGUGCCCCGCCUGGGGAGUACGGCCGCAAGGCUAAAACUCAAAUGAAUUGACGGGG